UAGCUUGCUACUGGAUUCAGCGGCGGACGGGUGAGUAAUGCUUAGGAAUCUGCCUAUUAGUGGGGGACAACGUUCCGAAAGGGGCGCUAAUACCGCAUACGUCCUACGGGAGAAAGCAGGGGACCUUCGGGCCUUGCGCUAAUAGAUGAGCCUAAGUCGGAUUAGCUAGUUGGUAGGGUAAAGGCCUACCAAGGCGACGAUCUGUAGCGG
rnacentral:rRNA from 1 species